rnacentral:tRNA from 1 species
GGAAGCGUGCCAGAGUGGUUGAAUGGGCCGGUCUCGAAAACCGGUAUCCCGGCAACGGGAUCGGAGGUUCGAAUCCUCCCGCUUCCG